CUACGGGUGGCAGCAGUGGGGAAUAUUGGACAAUGGGGGAAACCCUGAUCCAGCAAUGCCGCGUGUGUGAAGAAGGCCUGCGGGUUGUAAAGCACUUUCGGUUGGGAGGACUGCUUCUAGCACUAAUAUUGUUGGAAGUUGACGUUACCUUCAGAAGAAGCACCGGCUAACUCCGUGCCAGCAGCCGCGGUAAUACGGAGGGUGCAUGCGUUAAUCGGAAUUACUGGGCGUAAAGCGCGCGUAGGCGGCUAGAUCAGUCGGGUGUGAAAGCCCCGGGCUUAACCUGGGAACUGCAUCCGAUACUGUCUAGCUUGAGUGCAGGAGAGGAGAGUGGAAUUCCACAUGUAGCGGUGAAAUGCGUAGAUAUGUGGAGGAACACCAAUGGCGAAGGCAGCUCUCUGGCCUGAUACUGACGCUGAGGUGCGAAAGCGUGGGGAGCAAACAGGAUUAGAUACCCUUGUAGUC
rnacentral:rRNA from 1 species